AGCUCUUCUCUCCCCUUUCGGAGGGCAGCUCUCGCCGGGGUCUCUCUCCCUCCCUCACACACAAACCCGAUCAGAUGCUUCAGGACCGGCCACUUUGCGAUGGGGAUCAACACGGGAGGGUUUGUAUUACUCCAGACCUCAGGCAGGUUAGAUGCCUGACUUGCCCCCCUCCAUCCUUCGUCCCCAGCCCAAGGACUGGAGUAUAUUACUACCGAGUUAUACUUUAACUUCUCCGCAGGGUAAAGAAUAUCCCCAGUACUCCAGGGCGGAAGACCAUCACACAAAUAACACCUCUCGGAGGCAGCAGCAAUGGCAGGAAAAAGGACUCGCUAAAGAUUGGCCCUCUCUGCAAACAGAAGCUUAAGUGGUAAGGCCAGAUUUCCCCUUUAAUCCCCACCUCCAAAUUUUCCCCAUGAGCCCGAGCUUUGGCGCAGAACCAGAGACAGUUUUGACUAGCUGCUUCCAGGGAAAAGAGAGAAAUCCAAAUGACCCAAAUGAAGGUUUCUCUACAGAGGUAUAUACUCUUCUUGCAAGUCACUUUAAAAUGGCUUUUUGCUUUCCGGUUUUAUAAAGCCCUCUUCAGAAAGCUGCAUUAAAGACAACUCAGGA